rnacentral:piRNA from 1 species
CCUUGGUCUGAGCAUUUCUGCCUCCG